ACACACACACACACACACACACACACACACACACACGUAUGAUAAACCGGUCAGUGGUCAGCCCCCAGACCUGCGGAGCAGAUUUCCAGGUUUUCUUUCUGAUGUGUUGCCUGUAAGCAAUAAGAUUCUAGGUAAUAGCAUUUAUUCCGGGCUCUGCGUUAGCCCUUGUCUCAGAGGAUAGGGUGGGGGUAGAACAGCUCUUGCUAAGACCUCUUGCCUUUGCUGGAGAGGUUGCUGUACUUGAAUUUUUGCUUCUGUUUGUCUGCACGCUCCUUCACAUCAUACGACACUAGCGAUGGAUGAGAAAUCUGCCAGCACCAGACACAUCAAAAAUUGGGCAUAGAGACUGAAAAAUUAUCAAUUUUCCAUGAAUUUGUAGGGUUUACAGAAUCUAGCUGAGGCAAAACGCAUUUGGCUGUAGCGUAAGUGUAAGAACCUUUCACAUUAAAAAUGUAAAUGGCCAAUAAAAAGUCCUUUGACUGUAUCUGAGCUACCUUUAAGAGCUAGCCCAUUUCCUGUACUCCUCCUCUGUGCCUGAGUUUGAAAUAUCUGAAGCCCCCUCCGUGUCUGGGGUUAAAUCAUUUCGGUUCAUGCAAAGAGGGCAGUUGCCUCUCCAAGCGUCCCAGCGUGUUCAGCCCAACAGAUUUCUAAGCUGUUUAGCAGCCUCUCCUUGUGACCGUCCUGAACUUUAUGAAAAAUACCCCACACCCAGAUAACCAUUAAUAGAAUAAUGUAGUUUUUUAGGCUUUUGGAAUAUGUCUUCUCUUUUGUAUUUAUGAUGGUGUUUGGAAUUUUUCACUAGUGUUUUUUUAGAUUGAAGUGGGUGCAUUAGGAUAAAACUUUCCAUUGCUGAGCCUGAAGCAAGCAAGGGGAAAGAAGCGGACCUAUGUUGUGUCUUGGGGAAGGUGACUACUUCUUGUGGUGGGGGGAGGGCGGGGGUGCGUUAUAGAUUAUGUGGGGUAAAAUAGAAUUCCGCCCUGAGGCUCCCGAGUCUUACGGCCUUGUAAUAAAGAAUCCCUUUAUUAGCCUCACGUAAUCUCAAUAGAAGCCUGCUGUUUACCCUCAGGGAACAAGUAGUUUUCAAAAUUGAGCUCCUCCCAGGUCAUUGGCCAGUGCCUGUGUGCAGGCACUGGUCAUCUUUGUGAACUCAUGGCAUUAUUUUCCCAUACGUAUUAUGAUAUUAAGAAAUUCAACCCCAACCUGUAUGAAAAGCACAGCCCAGGGUCCUACUUUUAGGCUAGAGUUAAUGCCUUUGAGAGGCCAGGGGGUCAUAGGAGGCCCAUGCAAUUUAACUGAAGCUCAGGUGCCGUGUUGGGUUUUUAUUGGUUUCAGGCCACAGCCUUCAGAAUGAGUUUAGGGCAGGGCUGCUGAUCCGGCUGUGGAUCCAGGGAGCUCUAAGAUGAAUCUCUACCGUUCCUGUAAAGGUCUUUCUGGUUCUUCCCAGUGUUGUCAUUGCCGAGGUCAAUCUCGUAGUUGUUCAGACGUGCUCCUUUUUGCUGUCUUGUGAGUCUUAGCCAGCGAUCCAGAUGCCCAAGGACAGAGUCUUCAGAGGGCCUAGCUCCUUCCUGGUACCAAGUGUGUGAUCCUGACCCGUGUGAAGGCGGUCUUGUCAAAAGUAGUGAAAUGAGGAUUUCUGCAAACGGUAAUCCGGAUGGUCAGCAUGUAUCCCUUGGGCCUGGACUUCCACUAUGUUAGUGAGUGUAGGAAAAUACUGUGUCUUUUAUGGAAGAAAAUUCAAUGUAUGCUGUGAAUUUGUUGGUUUGAAACAUUGAAAAUUUUUCAUUAGACAAUGUUUACAUACCUCACCUGAAGAACCUUUGAGAGUGUAUAUAUGAGAUUUAAAAUAUAUUAAGUUGCUUUAAAACAAUAUGUAUAGCUAUAAAAGUUGGAGUUAUUUUAACUUUGAAUAUGUACCAAGUCUCUUAAAUAUUGAAAUCUUGUGGACUUUUUGUGCUUCUGUGUUUUACUUUCCUAUUAGACCAUGUAGGAAACUGUGUUCUUGUUAUUGGUAAAGGGGCCCUCACUGAAAUCCAAGCUUGGAAGGAUUUCCUUUGUUGUUUCAGAUUUUCUAGUUUGGUUUUGAGGGUUGGGUUAUGGAGCUAGAGGAUGUGUGGGUGGGAUUUCUCUAACGUUGACAUCUAUUCCAUGAGCUUUUCCUAGGCGCUUAUUUUAUUGCAGCGUAUUAAACUUCUUUGAUAUUAAAGUGUGUUUGUGUAGUUACUGGAGAGGGUACAGAACGCGUUGAAGCCCAGCAUUCAACUUGUAGCCUGCGGCAAAGUUGUUAAGUUGCCGGAAGGAACCGAAAAGCAAUACUUCUUACUACUUUUGCCUCGGCCACUGGUGUUGGGACUUAAAGGAACAUCGUUUGGUAGAUCUGUGGCCAUUUUGUGAGUUACGCCUGACUUCAGGGAAUAGAAAACACAAUGGAUGAUCCUUGGGAGUUCGCAUGGCAGAAUUGGGAAGGUGCCGGUGCUUCAUCCUGAGGUGCAAGGAGCAACUGGAUCCGCGCUUCUGACCUCAGUAGGGAACCACGUCUCUAUCCCUGCUGCUUUAUCAGAAGUGGCAGUACAGAUGGUGGGCUGAAGGGCAUGCGCCAACGUGAUUCAUUUAGGUAAGUAACCUACUGGCCUCUCCAGACGCUUGAGCUUACAACCCUAUUUUAACCUGUUUUCUGUCCUCUACCUGGUUCAUUACAUUUGCUCCCAAAUCCCUCAUUGCUUUGAAGGCACUGCAGUUACCAUCACUGCCCACUUUCAAGGUGACCAUGUGCUGUUAAGGUGUGGCAUAUGUGACCGUCACCACGAGCGGGAAAUCAGUUUAUGGUCCUGCAUCAGAGGAGGGCCAGCAGGGUCCCCUUGGUGUCAGGGGGCUUGCCCAGCCUCACUGCCAGGGCCUGGCCUCACCAAGACACUGAGGUCACUCAUCCUACAAAGCUCAAUUUGAGUGCAAUUCUGUGGUCUGAAGUCAUAGUAGAACCAUGUUAAAUAUGGGCAUGGCUCUGUACACAAACUUACAAAACGUGGGUGUGACCCUUGGAGAGAAGUGAGGAUGGACAGCCUCCCCAGAUCCGUGUGUGCUGUGCCGUGUCAGGCUCUGUUCUCACACUGACAUCCCCAGGGAGCUAUGACUAAGCCACCCCCCCAGACCUCCCCUUCCUUCUUCAGGAGGAACAAGCCUCCUUUGCCACUUCAGGAAGGCUAGAGAGUUCCAAGGGCAGAUACCCUACAUGUGCUGUGUCUGGGCUCUAUGCCUGGAUUGUGGCUGGUUUAUGGGCAGCGCAGAAACUCUCGCCCGUGCGAGGUUGUGUGUCAGCAGCCCUGGGCUCAUCCUUGAUGCAGAAAAAGAGAUCAACAAAGGCAGAACCUGAGUGAAUCAAUUUCAUGUUCACAGGGAGACAACAGACAAUAUCCAACAUGUUCUAAAAUAACACGUCUCAGGACAGGGCAGGUGUGGCUCCCCCAGGGGCUUGUUCUAAACCAGUCUCUUUAAAAGAGUGAUCCAAACAAGACUACAGAACCCCCCCACCCCAAACCAAACCAAAUGUCACAACUACAUAGCAUCUGAAAAGCAAAGCAAGACACUGGAUGUUGACUUUAACAUAUAAAAAUACUAUAACAAAAUGAAAUACAAAUAUAUAUUAGAAUCUGUUAAGUAUUCUGUGUAAAGAGAUACUUUCAUGGUUAGGCUAACAGCAGGCAAAGAAGAGACAAAGUCCAGGCUUUUCCGUUUCCUGACACCCGCACAGGGAGCCGGGGCCACUGUCGCCUGCAGUGCUGCCAAAGCAGCAGCAGCUUUGGGACUUGCCCUGCUUGUGUCUCUUCAGUAGAACCAGCCGAGGACGACGUCCAAGUGAGCUGGAUUCUUUACCAAAGGGGUGGCAAGGCUUGGAAAUGGUUUCUCAGAUGAUUUCACGGCAGCCUUCUUCUGGGACUCGGCAGGCCCAAACGGGAACAGGCAAGGUGUGUGGUGAUCCAGUUCCUUAGCAACUUUCGGGUUGGUGGUUCAGUUGAGGAAAACUUGAUCCUGGGGCGCAUGGGUCUCUCGGCCCCUUGCUGCCCUCACCCUUGUGGUGUAUCCCAGUCUUCUGGCUCGACCAAGGGUGAGUAUGGAGCUGGGCUGGGGCGUGGGGUGCUGUGGAGGGGUGGACAGCGGUGGCAGCAAGCUCGCAGGGUGCUCCCUGCAAACAAACACUCCAUCCUCUGCCCUCCCAAACCCAUGGCACUGGGAGUGCAGGACUCCUGGCAGCCAGUAUCUGUCUGCAGGUGCCCUUUCCACUUCUGCAGAGCAAAGAGGUCCUGCCAGACAUCGCCCCUCAAGCCCAGGAAACGGUUUCUGCAGCUGAGGAGACUGAGGCCCAUGAGGAAGAAGUUUGCCCAGAGUGACAGAGCCAGCGGAGGUUUCCUGAUGUCUGGACCACGGCUCCCUACUGGUCUGCGGCAUGAGGUGAUCUGAACCCCGUCUACAUGGGAGGAGACCCCUCCUUGGCUUGGCAGCCUAGCCCAAGCCCCCUACACCCCAAGUCCCCCUGCUACCUAGAAGCUGAUGGCUGGCUAAUGGCUGGGGAAGCCCAGGACCAAUGCCCCUUGGUGGCUAGUGUCUGGAGGUGGUGAUGUUUAUUCAGUUGGAACCAGAAGCUCUCUGUCCUUUUUGCUGGUGGCGUCCCCCCGCUAAGCAGUCCCAGCGGUGGUUUCCUCCGCAUGAGCACCCUCCUUGAUAUUACAAUGCUCGUCCCAUGACUCUGGGAUUCAGAGGUCUGGUCCUAAAACCACCUCCACCCCCUGGCCCGUUCCCAAGCAAGCAGUGGCUGCAGCACUGCCAGGCAGCCCAGGGGGCAGGGCUUGGUCCCUUCCUGGCCAGCAGGAGGGGGCCCUUCCCCUUCGCAGCCUGGCCUACUGCCAGCAGACGCUGCAGCAGCAGAAGCUGAGAGCCAGGCCGGCUGCCCCAGCGCAGGCUCAAAGUACGUCAAGGUUAUCUGCAGGGGGGCAAGGGGCUUCUGGGACCCGCACAGGCCACAGGUGAGAGGGCAAGGCUGGUUUGGGAAGGGGCAGUCCGAUCUUCAGACCCAGGUAGCAGGCAAGGAGGAGGUGUCACUAUUCUGCACUUCUUGGCCUGACCUCACGCACACAUUCAUUCAACAAAUGUUUAUUAAGCGCCUAUUUGUGCAAGGCACUUCCGGAGAGGGCGGGCUGCGGCCCGGGCCACGCCCACCCGCCCCGCCCCGCCCCAAGCUGCGGCGCCGUUUGCUUUAGAAAGGUGGUUCUGGCUGCCCCCCCCCCCCACGGGAGGGCCGGUAGCCCAAGCGUCGCCGUGGUGAUGGCCCGCACCCCAGCCCAGCUGCCGGCCAUUCGGUCUGCGCUGCGGCCGCGCCCCCUCGCCCGCCCUCUCCCCUCCCCAUCCACGCCGGGCGCUAAGCGCAGAAGGCACAGCCACACUUGGUGGGCUUCUCCACCUCCUCGGCAAAAGAGGUCCCGUCGCUGCACUCAAAGGUGAAC